rnacentral:tRNA from 1 species
GGGCGGUUAGCUCAGUCGGUAGAGCAGCGGACUUUUAAUCCGUUGGUCCGGGGUUCGAAUCCCCGACCGCCUACCA